rfam:Bursaphelenchus xylophilus, Ka4C1 (inbred line), WGS project CADV01000000 data, contig: scaffold00083.3
CAAACGGCCCUCUUUAGGGCCACAUAUUAUUUUACUUUGUUUUUUAU